rnacentral:rRNA from 1 species
CCUACGGGAGGCAGCAGUGGGGGAUAUUGCACAAUGGGGGGAACCCUGAUGCAGCGACGCCGCGUGGGUGAAGAAGCGCCUCGGCGCGUAAAGCCCUGUCAGCAGGGAAGAAAAUGACGGUACCUGAAGAAGAAGCAUCGGCUAACUACGUGCCAGCAGCCGCGGUAAUACGUAGGGGGCGAGCGUUAUCCGGAUUUACUGGGUGUAAAGGGGGCGCAGACGGCGAUGCAAGCCAGAAGGGAAAGCCUGGGGCCAAACCCCGGGACUGCUCUUGGAACUGCGUGGCUGGAGUGCAGGAGGGGUAGGCGGAAUUCCUGGUGUAGCGGUGAAAUGCGUAGAUAUCAGGAGGAACACCGGUGGCGAAGGCGGCCUGCUGGACUGCAACUGACGUUGAGGCCCGAAAGCGUAGGGAGCAAACAGGAUUAGAUACCCUUGUAGUC